AGAGCGAACGCUGGCGGCAGGCCUAAUACAUGCAAGUCGAACGGAUCCUUCGGGAUUAGUGGCGGACGGGUGAGUAACACGUGGGAACGUACCCUUUGGUUCGGAACAACUCAGGGAAACUUGAGCUAAUACCGAAUGUGCCCUUCGGGGAAAAGAUUUAUCGCCAUUGGAGCGGCCCGCGUCUGAUUAGCUAGUUGGUAGGGUAAAGGCCUACCAAGGCUACGAUCAGUAGCUGGUCUGAGAGGAUGAUCAGCCACACUGGGACUGAGACACGGCCCAGACUCCUACGGGAGGCAGCAGUAGGGAAUCUUGCGCAAUGGGCGAAAGCCUGACGCAGCCAUGCCGCGUGAAUGAUGAAGGUCUUAGGAUUGUAAAAUUCUUUCACCGGGGACGAUAAUGACGGUACCCGGAGAAGAAGCCCCGGCUAACUUCGUGCCAGCAGCCGC
rnacentral:rRNA from 1 species